rnacentral:rRNA from 1 species
GGACUACAAGGGUUUCUAAUCCUGUUUGCUCCCCACGCUUUCGAGCCUCAGCGUCAGAAAUGUUCCAGAGCGCCGCCUUCGCCACCGGCCUUCCUCCCGAUCUCUACGCAUUUCACCGCUACACCGGGAAUUCCGCGCUCCUCUCCCAUCCUCUAGCUGAACAGUCCCCUCUGCACUUUCCAGGUUAAGCCUGGAGAUUUCACGGAGGGCUUAUCCAACCGCCUACGCUCCCUGUACGCCCAGUAAAUCCGAACAACGCUUGCCACCUUCGUAUUACCGCGGCUGCUGGCAC